rnacentral:rRNA from 1 species
AAACUUUCAACAAAGAAUCUCUUGGCUCUCGCAUCGAUGAAGAACGCAGCGAAGCGCGAAAUGUAGUGUGAAUCGCAGAACAUUGUGAAUCAUCGAAUCUUUGAACGCACAUUGCGCCUCCUGUAACAGGGAGGCAUGCCUGUCUGAGUCUCAUUU